rnacentral:rRNA from 1 species
CCUACGGGUGGCAGCAGUGAGGAAUAUUGGUCAAUGGACGAGAGUCUGAACCAGCCAAGUAGCGUGAAGGAUGACUGCCCUAUGGGUUGUAAACUUCUUUUAUAUGGGAAUAAAAUGUUCCACGUGUGGGAUUUUGUAUGUACCAUAUGAAUAAGGAUCGGCUAACUCCGUUCCAGCAGCCGCGGUAAUACGGAGGAUCCGAGCGUUAUCUGGAUUUAUUGGGUUUAAAGGGAGCGUAGGUGGAUUGUUAAGGCAGUUGUGAAAGUUUGCGGCUCAACCGUAAAAUUGCAGUUGAAACUGGCAGUCUUGAGUACAGUAGAGGUGGGCGGAAUUCGUGGUGUAGCGGUGAAAUGCUUAGAUAUCACGAAGAACUCCGAUUGCGAAGGCAGUUCACUGGACUGCAACUGACACUGAGGCUCGAAAGUGUGGGUAUCAAACAGGAUUAGAUACCCUAGUAGUC